ensembl:lncRNA
ACACCGUGCUGGAGCGUGACCCUCCCACAAGGUGCCAGCUCAGGUACAGGGACACCUGAGCACAAACUAUGGUCCGUUUCUCCUGGGAAAGAAAAUUCACCAUUCCAGGUUCCUGAUGUCAGUUUGUAGGGCUCCCUUGGGUCUAUCAGGGUUGCACAAGUUUGCGGUGGGGACAGCUGGAGUCUGAGACACAUCCUUCGAUGUUUGGAUUUUUUGCAGUCAGCUGUCAGCUCAAGGCCAGGGGCCCCUGGGCAAAUUCUCAGGCCAUUUUCCCUGGGAAAGAAAACUCACCAGUCCAGGUUCCUGAUGUCAGGUUUGUAGGGCUCCCUUGGGUCUAUCAGGGCAGCACAAGUUUGAGGUGGGGACAACUUCGGUCUGGGACACAUCCUUGAUGUCUGGAGUUUUUGCAGUCAGGCACCAGCUCAGCGCCAAGGGCGGCUGUGUACAUACUAUGGCCAUUUUCCCUGGGAAAGAAAACUCACCAGUCCAGGUUCCUGAUGUGAGUUUGGAGGGCUCCCUUGGCUCUAUCAGUGCAGCACAAGUUUGAGGUGGGGACAACUUUGGUCUGGGACACAUCCUUCAAUAUCUGGAUUUCUAAAGUGAGGCUCCACCUCAGGGGAAGGGACAGCUGAGCACAAACUAUGCCCCAUUUUCCCUGGGAAAGAAAACUCACCAGUCCAGGUUGCUGAUGUCAGUUUGUAGGGCUCCCUUGGGACUAUCAUGGCAGCACAAGUUUGAGGUGGGGACAGCUGGAGUCAGGGACACAUCCUUCGAUAUAUGGAUUCUUUGCAGUCAGGCCCCAGCCCAGUGCCAGGGACCCCUGGGCACAUCCUUUGGCCAUUUUCCCUGGGAAAGAAAACUCACCAGUCCAGGUUCCUGAUGUCAGUUUGUAGGGCUCCCUUGGGUCUAUCAGGGCAGCACAACUAUGAGGAGGGGACAACUUCAGUCUGGGGUCCAUCCUUCGAUAUAAGGAUUCUUUUGCAGUCAGGUCCCAGCCCAGGGCCAGGGGCCCCUGGGCAUAUUAUUUGGCCAUUUUCCCUGGGAAAGAAAACUCACCUGUCCAGGUUCCUGAUGUCACUUUGUAGGGCUCCCUUGGGAAUGUCUGGACAGCACAAGUUUGAGGUGGGGACAACUUCCAUCUAGGGUCCAUCCUUCGAUGUGUGGACUUUUAUGCCGUCAGGACCCAGCCCAGGGCCUGGGGCCCCUGGGCACAUCCUUUGGCCAAAUUCCCUGGGAAAGAAAACUCACCAGUCCAGGUUGCUGAUGUCAGUUUGUAGGGCUCCCUUGGGUCUGUGUGGGCAGCAGAAGUUUGGGGUGGGGAAAAUUUUGGUCUGGGGUCCAUCCUUCGAUAUAAGGAUUUUUUCAGUCAGGUCCCAGCCCGCUUUCAGGGCUCCCUGGGUACAUCCUUUGGCCAUUUUACCUGGGAAAGAAAACUCACCAGUCCAGGUUCCUGCUAUAAGUUGGUAGGGCUUGCUUGGGUCUGUCAGGGCAGCACAAGUUUGAGGAGGGGACAACUUUGGUCUGGGUUCCAUCCUUCGAUGUAUUGACUUUUGGCAGUAAUGUCCCAGCCCAGGGCCAGUGGCCCCUGGGCACAUCCUUUGGUCAUUUUGCCUGCGAAAGAAAACUCACCAGUCCAGGUUCCUGAUGUCAGUUUGUAGGGCUCCCUUGGGUCUAUCAGGGCAGCACAAGUUUGAGGUGGGGAUAAUUUCAGUCUGGGGUCCAUCCUUCGAUGUAUUGACUAUUUGCCGUCUGAUCCCAGCCCAAGGCUGGGGCCCCUGGGCACACACUUUGGUCAUUUUCCCUGGGAAAGAAAACUCACCAGUCCAAGUUCCUGAUGUCACUUUGUAGGGCUCCCUUGGGAAUGUCUGGACAGCACAAGUUUGAGGUGGGGACAACUUCCAUCUGGGGUCCAUCCUUCGAUAUAAGGAUUUUUUGCAGUCAGGUUCCCAGCCCACUUUCAAAGCUCCCUGGGCACAUCCUUUGGCAAUUUUCCCUGGGAAAGAAAACUCACCAGUCCAGGUUCCUGAUAUAAGUUGGUAGAGCUCCCAGGGGUCUAUCAGGGUAUCACAUGUUUGAGGUGCGGAAAACUUCCGUCCGGGGUACAUCCCUCCAUGUAUGGAGUUUUUGCCGUCAGGGCCCAACC